rnacentral:rRNA from 1 species
CUACGGGCGGCUGCAGUGGGGAAUAUUGCACAAUGGGCGCAAGCCUGAUGCAGCAACGCCGCGUGAGGGAUGAAGGCCUUCGGGUUGUAAACCUCUUUUAGCAGGGAAGAAGCGAAAGUGACGGUACCUGCAGAAAAAGCACCGGCUAACUACGUGCCAGCAGCCGCGGUAAUACGUAGGGUGCAAGCGUUGUCCGGAAUUAUUGGGCGUAAAGAGCUCGUAGGCGGUUUGUCGCGUCUGCUGUGAAAAUCCAAGGCUCAACCUUGGACUUGCAGUGGGUACGGGCAGGCUAGAGUGCGGUAGGGGAGAUGGGAAUUCCUGGUGUAGCGGUGGAAUGCGCAGAUAUCAGGAGGAACACCAAUGGCGAAGGCACAUCUCUGGGCCGUAACUGACGCUGAGAGACGAAAGCUAGGGUAGCGAACAGGAUUAGAUACCCGGAUAGUC